UUUUUUUUUUUUUUUUUUUUUUUUUUUUUUUAUGCAAACACUUUUCUACCAGAAUGCUUACUCCAAUGUAUACAAUGUAAACCCUUUUUUGAAAUUUUCUCGGUGUGGCACUUUAGAGAGGGUUUUUUUUUUUUAUUUUCCCGGCAGUUUUCCCAAUGAAAGAGAAAAAGUGAGAAAAAAUGGGAAUACGUGUAAAUAUAUUAGUAAAAUACUAUGAUUUAUUUUUUCUGCGUACAACUUUUCUACCAGCAAUUUUGCUCCAAUUUACAAUGAUAACAUUUUUACUAAAGACAAUCCG